AUUGAACGCUGGCGGCAUGCUUUACACAUGCAAGUCGAACGGUAACAGGCCGCAAGGUGCUGACGAGUGGCGAACGGGUGAGUAAUGCAUCGGAACGUGCCCAGUCGUGGGGGAUAACGCAGCGAAAGCUGCGCUAAUACCGCAUACGAUCUCUGGAUGAAAGCGGGGGACCGAAAGGCCUCGCGCGAUUGGAGCGGCCGAUGUCAGAUUAGGUAGUUGGUGGGGUAAAGGCCCACCAAGCCAACGAUCUGUAGCUGGUCUGAGAGGACGACCAGCAACACUGGGACUGAGACACGGCCAAGACUCCUACGGGAGGAAGCAGUGGGGAAUUUUGGACAAUGGGCGCAAGCCUGAUCCAGCAAUGCCGCGUGCAGGAAGAAGGCCUUCGGGUUGUAAACUGCUUUUGUACGGAACGAAACGGUCCGGGUUAAUACCCUGGGCUAAUGACGGUACCGUAAGAAUAAGCACCGGCUAACUACGUGCCAGCCGCCGCGGUAA
rnacentral:rRNA from 1 species